CAGACCACCAGUUGAGAAAAGCUGGAACUAUUGAAGAUGAAUUAAUUUGGCUUCAACAAUGUGCGAGAUUUAAUACCAAAUGGACGUAAUACAGUUAUUGUUAUGGAAAAGAUUUAUGUAUACAUAUAUAAAGCUAAAAAUUACACUGAAAUAAUCAUUUUUUACCUCCAUGGAGAAUGUAAUAUUUUCAAUGCUGUCGCACAAGCAAUGGGUACAAACAUAAUUGGAAUAAAUAAAUCACUUGUCAUAA
rnacentral:lncRNA from 13 species